rfam:Cellulophaga lytica DSM 7489, complete genome.
CGAGCAGGUUACUCUAUCGCUUUGCAAACUUGUUUUGUAAAGAGGAAAGUCCGGACACCAUAGUGUAGCAUAGCGGGUAAUUCCCGUCCGUUGUAAAACGAGGACAAGUGCAGCAGAAAGUAUGUACAGGUAAUGCUGUAGUGAAACCAGGUAAACUCUAUGCGGUGCAACGUCAUGUAAAUUAGCGUUAUAAGGGUACACGCCCAAGCUAAAGGGUAGGCGGUUUGAGCUUUUAGGUAACUAAAAGCCUAGAUAAAUGAUAGAGGAGCUACUUGUUGGCUUUACAGAAUCCGGCUUAUGACCUGCUCUUUUU